UUUCAAUUCAUUCUAACCUGAAUUAAACCUACAGGUCACACUACAGUCCUGGCCUACCUGUUAUCUCGUACCUGUGAACAUCAUCUACCUGGCCUUAUCACUACACAUGAUCAGCUGACCAGGACUACAAGCCAGUAUGGUUCUCCCAGUCUUGGGAACUCCCUGGCUGAAGCAGAGCUGGUUAAGAGCCUCACCUCAUCAUGUAAGCCCCUGAGUCACGCCAGCCCUGCCUGCUACUUUGUAUAGAGGGAGGCAAGGCAGGAAGACCCACACGCCUUUACCAGCGCAUAGUUGAGCUGCCCUGGCCUGGGUUGCAAGUCUUGUCCAGCGGUGGUCGCCCGGACGCCCGUGUGAGACUGCGCUGCGAGAGGCUGAAGUAUGAAGAACGAAAUACAUCAAAGGUAAAGAAUGAAAAUUUUACUCUCAGAAUUUUUACAGCGGAAGAAGUAGC